CCUACGGGGGGCAGCAGUGGGGAAUAUUGGACAAUGGGGGGAACCCUGAUCCAGCGACGCCGCGUGAGUGAAGAAGUAUCUCGGUAUGUAAAGCUCUAUCAGCAGGGAAGAAAGAAAUGACGGUACCUGACUAAGAAGCCCCGGCUAACUACGUGCCAGCAGCCGCGGUAAUACGUAGGGGGCAAGCGUUAUCCGGAUAUACUGGGUGUAAAGGGAGCGUAGGCGGCUGAGCAAGUCUGAAGUGAAAGGCGGGGGGCCAACCCCCGGACUGCUUUGGAAACUGUAUAGCUAGAGUGCAGGAGAGGUAGGUGGAAUUCCUAGGGUAGAGGUGAAAUGCGUAGAGAUUAGGAGGAACACCAGGGGCGAAGGCGGCUGACUGGACUGUAACUGAGGCGCAUGCACGAAAGCGUGGGUAUCGAACAGGAGUAGAUACCCCGGUAGUC
rnacentral:rRNA from 1 species